GAUGGACGCUGGCGGCGUGCCUAAUACAUGCAAGUCGAGCGAACGGACGAGAAGCUUGCUUCUCUGAUGUUAGCGGCGGACGGGUGAGUAACACGUGGAUAACCUACCUAUAAGACUGGGAUAACUUCGGGAAACCGUAGCUAAUACCGGAUAAUAUUUUGAACCGCAUGGUUCAAAAGUGAAAGACGGUCGUGCUGUCACGUAUAGAUGGAUCCGCGCUGCAUUAGCUAGUUGGUAAGGUAACGGCUUACGAAGGCAACGAUGCAUAGCCGACCUGAGAGGGUGAUCGGCCACACUGGAACUGAGACACGGUCCAGACUCCUACGGGAGGCAGCAGUAGGGAAUCUUACGCAAUGGGCGAAAGCAUGACGGAGCAACGCCGCGUGAGUGAUGAAGGUCUUCGGAUCGUAAAACUCUGUUAUUAGGGAAGAACAGAUGUGUAAGUAACUGUGCACAUCUUGACGGUACCUAAUCAGAAAGCCACGGCUAACUACGUG
rnacentral:rRNA from 1 species